UUCACCACCAUUUGGACCUCAGGGUACGUGAGUCUUCUCUAUAUUCAAUGGGGUAGCCAUCUCUAGUCAGAGAGUCUACCAUACCAAAUAUCAGGUAGUUAGUCCUGAGAUCCCUCCUCAGGCAGUUUUACUGUAAUUAACACCUUGGGUCCCCCUUCCCCAUGCAAUCUCACCACCCUUCCUACCUUGAGUCAUCCCACACAGUACACCACACAGUUUGCCUGCCAUUGACACUUACAGUCACCCAUUCCCAAGCAGUUUCACCCCCUUUAACACCUUAAAUCAUCCCUCACCAGGCAAUUUUACUACUAUUAACAUUUUGACACAUCAUUCGCCAGACAGGUUUGCCACUACAACACCAUGAGCCAUUCCUCCCCUGGCAGUUCACUAUCAUUUACACAUUUUAAUCUGUUUAACUGGAACAGCCAUCUCUAAACAAAGAAAGGGGUCUAUGACACCACUUAUCAGCUACUUAUAAUGCAGUUCUGAGAUCCCUCCCCAAGCAGUUUCGCCAUAAUUUACAUCAUAAAUCAUCCCUCACCAGACAGUUUGACCGACAUUUGCACCUUAGGGCAUGAGAAUCUUGCCUAUGUUCAAUGGAAUAGCCAUCUCUAGACAGCGAAGAGGGUCUUCCACACCACUUAACAGGUAGUUAUGGGUAGUACUGAGAUCCCUCGCCAGGCAAUUUGACUACAAAUAAUUCUUCAAGACAUUCAUCCCCAUGCAGUUUUACCGUCAUUUACACCUUGAGUCAUCCCCUCUUGGGAAGUUUCACCACCAGUAAUACUUUUAAUCAUCCCUCCCGUGGUAGUUUGGCCAGCGUUGUGACAUUAGCCUUCCCUCCACUGGUAGUUUCACCAUCUUUGACAUCUUGAGUCAUCCCACCCCUGGCAAUUUGAACACCAUUCACACCUUAAGGGUCAUUAACAGGCAUUAGGUCAUGUGAUUUUGGGGUUAGAAUGAAUGCCUAGUUCUCCUCACCAGUCAGAAAUGAGAAAGUCUCUUGGAUGAAGGUGAAACAUCUUCAGGAACCAAAAACAAAAGUCUGGUUGUCUUCUCCUGAAACAAUUAGGUUUGGAAACACAGUUAUUAAAACCACAAAUCAACAGCAGCUCUUAUAAACUUAGAUUUCACAUAGUCUAUAGUAAUCUUGGAGCUGUAUUUGUAUGAUACUGACUCCUGUUUGGGUUAACAAGACUCUUGUUUACAUGGAAACAGACUGUAGACGCCGGCGUCCACACAGCAGAAAGACGUUGAACCACUUGAAUGAAGAAGAAAACGUGGAGAAAUCAGAUAUUUCUGUUAGUUUUAGUUUUUAGUUCUGGUGCUCAGCUCAUAGUUUCACAUAGUUUUAGUUGUGAUUCAUGUACAUCUGUUUCUGCUUUGCUUUUGUAGAUGUUUUUUUUUCUCCU
ensembl:lncRNA